rnacentral:rRNA from 1 species
CACAUGUGACGUAGUUUGAUCCUGGCUCAGAACGAACGCUGGCGGCAGGCCUAACACAUGCAAGUCGAGCGAUCCCGUUCGGGGAUAGCGGCGGACGGGUGAGUAACGCGUGGGAACGUACCCUUUGCUACGGAAUAGCCUACGGGAAACUGGGAGUAAUACCGUAUGUGCCCGUUCGGGGGAAAGAUUUAUCGGCAAAGGAUCGGCCCGCGUUGGAUUAGGUAGUUGGUGGGGUAAUGGCCUACCAAGCCUACGAUCCAUAGCUGGUUUGAGAGGAUGAUCAGCCACACUGGGACUGAGACACGGCCCAGACUCCUACGGGAGGCAGCAGGUGGGGAAUCUUAGACAAUGGGGGCAACCCUGAUCUAGCCAUGCCGCGUGAGUGAUGAAGGCCUUAGGGUUGUAAAGCUCUUUCAGCUGGGAAGAUAAUGACGGUACCAGCAGAAGAAGCCCCGGCUAACUCCGUG